UGCAGGGCUGUCCCACACGUUCCUGGAAAUUCUCAUCUCUGGCCACUGCUUACAAAUGCCAGUGUGACCAGACAGUCGUAAACGCCUUCCUUCUCCGUGGAGCCCUCGUGAUGGGCCACCUAAACUACCUGCUGGAAGAAGAAUCCCGCCAGCCCCAUUAAUCAGAAUUAGUGACCUGCAACUAUCUUUUCAAGACAUCACCACUGUGCAGUGAGUGUUCUGGCCUUUCUCCUGCAGGGGGCUGCUGGAGAGUGUGUGAAUAGUGCCCCCUGGGGAAGCUCGGUGCACAGAGUGCAGGGCCGUUGCCAAGGCGGGGCUGGGGUGAGGUAGGCAGCAGCCUCCACCUGGACCAGCUCGCCUUCCUCUGCGCCCACCUAGGUUUUCAGGUUCUGGCCAACUACUCGCUGUUUCCUCCCUGUCUAAUAUCUGCUUUCUCUCUGCUUCCCUCCGCUUCCUCCCUUUCUUCCUUUUACUCGCACAGUAUUUUUGAACCCUUCACUGUUUCUCCAUGUUCUAGGACUAUGAUAAAACAGCCAUUAAAACACAGAGAGUCCCCGACCUCAAGGGUCACACCAGUCAGAAUGCUUUCGGUCCCUUUUGCUUUGUGCUCACCACAGUCUUCAGGUGUACGGCGUCCUUCUGUUGCUAUGGUGAUACUUAUGUGGAACAUUGGCCAGAAGAACGCUGAGGCACAUUCACUUAAGUGGCAUUCUUACGUGGACCGGUAUGCCCACGGUCCGUUGGUAUUCCAGUGUCCAGGCUGGCGUGCCCGGCUUUGCACGAAGAAGCACUGCGUAAGACAUCUUACUUCAUCUUCCUGCUCGCAGGCAUCAAGUGAGAAGCCGCCACCAGAGUGCUUCCCACCCCACCAGGGACACCUGGUUGCCUGUCCCGGCUAGUCUGUGUCACACACCUGCUAGAUAUCAUGGACAGAAGAGAGGAAGAGGAAACGGCUCAGCAAAUUAGAUGACUCAAAAAGGGACUUGGUUUUUAUGAACUUCAAUAUGAGAACAGAAGGUGCCUUUAUCAUUUGAAGAGUAUAUAAUAUUGCAGAGUGAUCACGGUUCUGGACAACAGCUCUGGGGUUCUAGGACUGUGUCCCAGCCCCAUGACUUAAACAACCACCCAGCCUCGCCAGUGCUGAUACCUCUGAGAAAGUGGAAAUUGGUGGUUGCCUGGUGAUUCAGAAGACUGAAUGCUAGAGCUGGCUGUUUCUUCAUUUCUUAUUCCACUGACUCCUACGAGGACACCAGCUGAGGCAUACCUUGUCAUAUCUAUGAAAGAAAAAUUUAUGUGCAUCUAAAGUAGAGACUAGAAGGGAACUCAGGAGGAACAGAAUCUUUGAAAAGCCCCUAUCUUGGUGUCCUAAUGAUUCUUAUUAAUGCUUAGGUUUUUGAGGCCACGGAGCCACCACUGAAUCCUGUCUCUGUUGUGUAGAAACUGUGUGAUUUGGGAUGAGUUGUUUAACCUCUUCAUCAAAAACAGAACCGCUCCCCACACCACUGCCACCAAAAGCAAACCUUUAUUGGCACUUGAUGAGGACCUGACUGGGUUGAGAACGCGCCCAAGCUUCGGGACCCCUGUGCCGACGCUGUUGCAGUGCCCCAUCCCUCCCAGUCUUGAGUGGGUAAGAAUGUGCCCCUACCUCCAGCUCAAGUGGCUGAAUACAGAGCAGUUACAGCCAUGGAGGCCUAAGUAGAAACCUGCAGGGGUUCGGCCUGGGCCUCCCAGGGCACCCUUUUGGCUCCUCAUGUGAGUGACAUCCCGAGGUGCAGCACCUGUCUUGUGCUCCUGAGGCGGAGGCGGCAGCAAUCACGGGUCCGUCAUGCCUGACAUGUCUGAAGUGCCGCGCCGACGUCCCCAGUCAGCUUCUCGGGCCUCUGGAGUAGGGACAAAGCGCCAGCCCUCCUCUACUGAGCCAUGUGUCAGGCGUUCCUUGGCUUGCAGCAGAAGCUGGUCUUCCUUCCUGCUGCAGAAUGUACCAUGAUUCUCUCCAGUCUCCAGAUGGACAGACUGAAGCUCAGGAUGUUAAACAUUUGGAUUUGCUCAGCCAGUCAGUGAUAAAAUGGAUCUCAGAUCUCCAAGGCUGGCUUCAGAACCUGCGCUCUCAGUCACUUACCUUGUGGCAUUUGUGGGGAGGAAAUGAAAUGACUUAAGUAAAGCACAUCGGCAUUAGCUCGGUAUGUGGCAUGUGAGAGGUUGUUGAAAUGUUGUGAUCUUUCCCACAAUCACCACUCCGUGUUCGUGCUUACCAAUCUAUCCUUGGGUUUUGAUUCUCAUUCAGUUAUUCUCCAUUCUGUCCUUUUCUCCGAAAAGGUUAGUAUUUGCUUUCCAUGCUUAAACAAUUGAGUGUAAUGGAUAUAGUAGGUAGUCUGUAUGUUUGUUGAAUGAGUAAAUGAGUAAUUCUCUUAAAAGAAUAUUUCCUAAAGAGCCAGGCAUGGUGGCACUAGGGAGGCGCCUGAGACAGGAGGAUCACCAUGAGUUUGAGGCCAAUCUGGGCUAUAUAGUGAGUUAAAGGCCAGCCUGAAGUGCAUAGUGAGACCGUGCCUCAAAACAAACAAACAAAAACCACCCAAGAAUAUUUCUUAAGCAUCAGUCUGAGAUUGCUGCAUACACUUUGAUAAGGAAGCUGCAAUGUUGUAUGUUAGCAAAGCACAGAGAAACCAGACUUCCUGGGUUCAGUUUUCAACUCUCCCGCUGGCUGAAGAGCUGUGUGACAUGGGCCGUGACUUAGCCUGAGGACUGCACUCUCUGUCUGUAGGAUGGAAAUGAUCAUCUGCAUUGCAUCAGAGUAUUGUUAGCUCUAACUGAAAUACCACUUCUGAAAGUUUUCAGAGGGACUGGUGGAGCAGUCAAUAAACAUUAGCUUUAUCGCAAUAAUUAGUUAACUGUUUUUACUAACUUAUAUGCACCCUACCAAAAGUGGUUCCAGUGGAUGAAGCAGAGUUGAAAACAAGAUCCUUUGGGUGGCUGAUGCAGAAAGUCAAAUUUGAUCCAUGAGGAGUUCCCGCAUCCAAACACAGCAGAAUAAAAAUAAAAAUGUGUGUGUCCUUGCUGAGUAGCUGAUACCUACAUGCUGUUUUCCAUUACGAAAUAUAAAUUCACCUUGAGUUUUGGUGACUGCAUUUUAAAAACAAAAAGGAAAUAGUUAUGUAUUCUUAUCUUCACAAAUCGUAAAAUACAUUUUGCACCUGCCUGGCUCCCUUUUCUGUUUUCAGAUCUGUGUAUCAAUUUGUUUGAGGGCAGUCAAUUCUGCUUCAUCAGAAAAAGCCUUGUCA
ensembl:lncRNA